CCUUGACACCCAGCGAACUUGGCAGAGAUGCCUUGGUGCCUUCGGGAACGCUGAGACAGGUGCUGCAUGGCUGUCGUCAGCUCGUGUUGUGAAAUGUUGGGUUAAGUCCCGNAACGAGCGCAACCCUUAUCCUUUGUUGCCAGCGAUUCGGUCGGGAACUCAAAGGAGACUGCCGGUGAUAAACCGGAGGAAGGUGGGGAUGACGUCAAGUCAUCAUGGCCCUUACGAGUAGGGCUACACACGUGCUACAAUGGCGCAUACAAAGAGAAGCGACCUCGCGAGAGCAAGCGGACCUCAUAAAGUGCGUCGUAGUCCGGAUCGGAGUCUGCAACUCGACUCCGUGAAGUCGGAAUCGCUAGUAAUCGUGGAUCAGAAUGCCACGGUGAAUACGUUCCCGGGCCUUGUACACACCGCCCGUCACACCAUGGGAGUGGGUUGCAAAAGAAGUAGGUAGCUUAACCUCCGGGAGGGCGCUUACCACUUUGUGAUUCAUGACUGGGGUGAAGUCGUAACAAGGUAGGCGUAGCGAG
rnacentral:rRNA from 1 species